GAUUUUGUGUCAACAAAUUUUAUUAAAUGUAAAUUAUAUACCUUUUUUUUUUUAAUUUUCAUGGUAGGAAAUUUGUGUACAUAUGGAAUUGGUUAGCUUGUGAAAGCUUUUUGGUGCGAGUCAGAAAAUUCAAAAUUUUACUAAGAUUUGCAAUUUCUCUUUCACUUCUUCACUGUUUUUUUUGUACAUUCAAUUCUUCUUUUUUAUGUCUCUCUUUUGCAUUCUGAUUUCCAUCUUCAUCUCCAUCCCAGUUAGGUUUCAUUUUGGGACCUACAGGCCCUUCUUCCCCAAAAACUUCUUUUGGUAUGCAUUUGAAACACUUGAUAAUUGCUUCCACUUUCUUGCAAUACCUAAUUUUAGGCCCCCAUUUCCCGGAGUAGUUGAGCCAUGGUGAUGGUUCUUUUAUAUUCAUGCCCAAAUCAUCAGCGGCAACCACCAAGAAUCUUGCUCCAGUAUCUAAGAACAUGCAACUCUUGGCAGUGAGGUCGCUAGAUCGUAUCCCACCACACCCUUGUAAAAUUUGGCCAGGCUUAGAGUACAUGGCGUGGCCGUGCAAUGAUGCGUAGGCCACAACUUUGUUACCGUUAUAAAACUCAAGCUCCGAGGCAUUGAGCCAAUACCCCUUACUGUGUUGGGAAAAGUAGACACUCCACAGUUCUCCAUUGAAAUUGCUUACCCUCAACGUCACAUGCUCCCAGUCACCUACAUGUUCUCCAUUUCUUCUUAGUGAAAGUUUUUUGAUCUUGCAACAAUCAAUUGUAGCAGGACCAUUGAAAGGGAAAAAAACCCACACAGCUAUGUCUGUGAAGGUUCCUCCAAGCAUUGGUUUGAUGUGCAAGUAGACCUUUGCUUCUUGUAAUUCUCCUUUCUUGAUUCUCUCUUCGACACUUUUCUCCUUAGGAAGGUCCAGCCAGUAGGCACCAUCAUCUGGGUUUUUUGAACCACCUUGGGGAAGGUUCGAGCCCGGAGCUUCAAUUGGGCGCCGUUUGGAGCCUUUUUUAUCAUAUAGCAUUGCGCCGUUGUUGAAGUACCAAGUCACAGAAGAAGGAAGGUACUCUUCAUGGGGAUGGAGAUAUAUAAGGGGAGAGUAUUCUUGAAAAAUUGCCUCAAUUUGGUCUCCUUCAGGCAUACAAGACAAAAUGGAGGCGACAUUCUUCAAGCAAGCCAGAGAAGUGGGGUAAACGUUGCGACAUUGGGCCAUAAAUGUACCCACACAGACACCCGUGGCUUUAGUUCGCCUGUUGCUGGGCCUGAGACUGAAAACAUUGAAUACUUUUGCAGGUCUUCUCUUGGCUGCUCCCCAGAUCCAGGAGUCUGUCUCACAUUGGUCUGUAAGGUCUGAUCGGACGCAGCGGGUUUUUUCGAGGGAAGGCUCUUGGCUGGAGUUGGUGACAACAAUACCCACGGCUUUGUAGCCAACAGGAGCCAUGGGUAACCAGAAGUAGCCAAAGCCAUCUUGCUUUAUCUUCAAAGACUCGCUGCUCCAAAGAAGAGCGUAACUGGUUGGCCUCUUCAAGGCUCUAUCGGCUUUAUGAUCCUCUGUAGAGUCUUUCCCUACAAGAACCCACCCAUUAAGCGGCCUGUUGUUGGGUUGGGUGUAGCAACCGAGCAUGAAGAAGCCUUCUGGGAUUUCAGAAGGAUCAAAGAAAGAAGCACCGAGGUUUUGUGGCCCACCUUCAUAGGUGGCCCAAACUUUGUUGAAAGAUGAGAUCUGGCGUACUUCCAAUCCACCCAGAUCAAUGGUUCCACUUGCAAAACCCUUACCUUGUUGUGCCCAAGUUGGCAAUGGAGAGGGAAGCUUGAAGGAAGUAUCAAUUAUGCUAUUAUUUGGAUUCUUGGAGGAAGAAAUACGGUUUCCCAUUGCUGAUCAGAGGUUCAAAUAAAACUUGAAAACAGCUGCGAAGUGAACAGAGCUUGGUUAAUUAAUUAUAGGACAACCUAAAAUGUGAAAACUGAUGUGAAUAAAAGGAUUUCUUAGUUAUUUAGGUGUAAUAAAAAGAAUAUAAAAUAGAAAUAAAGCAUGCAUGGAUUAAUUAGAGAAAUAAAACUUUUUUUUUUAUGGUGCAGUAGUCAAUACUUGACGAAAAAAUUAAGAGAGCUUGGCUGUUUUGAGCUGCU
rnacentral:misc_RNA from 1 species